AGGGUUCAGAGGAGGGAGAGAUCAGAGUGACUAGUGCAGGCUUCCUGGGGAACCAUUUGAGCUUUGAAGGUGGGGAAGAGGAAUGUCAGAGAGUGGGCAAAAUACAACAGGAAAGGUCCAAAUUCACCCUCUGAGGGCCCGGGGCACGGGGGCAGCCUGCUCUCCUCCUGGGGCCCUGUUCCCUGUGGGGACUGGAAGAGAGGCUUUGAGUCUAGGGCCUGGGGCAGCCAGGACUGACGGGGGUGCAGUCCUAGAAGGGUCGGCAGUCACGGUGGCCCACCAUGGCAUCUCCGUAUCCUUGCUGCAUGCUGCACCCACUCCAGCUGCCAGAGCACGGAGGCAGAGACGUGGGAGCCGAUGAAGGUCGCACGCCAGCCUCCCACCUGUGAGACAAAGGGCCCUGUCACUGGAAGCCACGUCCAGCCUGGCCCCGCAGGAGCCAGGGCUCUGCGCCUAACGGAGGACUGAUGGGAAAGGGAAGGCUGGCAGCAGUGAGGGGCCAAUCAUCUGAAUCACGUUCCUGUAUUCAGGAUUUGCCCCUCCAAAACAGUUUUGAUGGGAGACACCAGCCACCUACUAUUAUGCAGCCAUGCACCACAUAACGACGUUUCAGGCAACAAUGACUGCACAUACCACAGUGGUCCCGUAAAAUUACAAUGGAGCUGAAAAAUUCCUAUUGCCUAGUGACGUCACAGCCAUUGUAAGGUCAGAGUGCAACACAUCACUCAUGUGUUUGUGUUGAUGCUGCUGUAAACAAACCUACCGCACUGCCAGUCAUAUAAAAGUAUAGCCCAUACAAUUAUGUGUAGUACUUAAUACUUAAUAAUAAUAAACAACUAUGUUGCUGGUUUACGUAUUUACUACACUGUGUUUUUAAUUGCUAAUAAGAGUGUACUCUUUUUAGUUAUUAAAAAAAAAGUUAACUGUAAA
rnacentral:lncRNA from 1 species